AACGGCCGCAAAAUUAACCGCGCGAAGGUAGCGCAAUAAAUUGUCUUUUAAAUGAAGACCUGUACGAAUGGCAAAACGAGGGUUUAACUGUCUCACUCUCUCCGUUAAUAAAAUUGAUCUCCCCGUGCAGAAGCAAGGAUAAUAUUAUAAGACGAAAAGACCCUAUGGAACUUUAGAAUCUGAAAUAGAACAAUUAAAAUUAAUAAAUUACAACCCCUAUUUCUUUUAUUUCUUUGGUUGGGGCGACCAAGGAGAAAAACAAAACCUCCUAUAAAAAUCAGUAAGAUAUGCAAAAUAAGAAUAACAUUUCUCACUCACAAAAUAUGUGUUUAAAGAUGACCCGAAAACAUAUUCGAUCAACGAAACAAGCUACCCUAGGGAUAACAGCGCAAUCCCCUUUUAGAGCCCCUAUCGACAAGGGGGUUUACGACCUCGAUGUUGGAUCAGGACAUCCUAAU
rnacentral:rRNA from 1 species